rnacentral:rRNA from 1 species
UACGUAGGGUGCGAGCGUUAAUCAGAAUUACUGGGCGUAAAGCGUGCGCAGGCGGUUUUGUAAGCCAGAUGUGAAAUCCCCGGGCUUAACCUGGGAAUGGCAUUUGGGACUGCAAGGCUGGAGUGCGGCAGAGGAGACUGGAAUUCCUGGUGUAGCAGUGAAAUGCGUAGAUAUCAGGAGGAACACCGAUGGCGAAGGCAGGUCUCUGGGCUGACACUGACGCUCAUGCACGAAAGCGUGGGGAGCGAACAGG